AGCGUCGUGCUAAUAACGCGAAGUCACAGGUUCGAUCCCUGUGUAGGCCA
rnacentral:tRNA from 1 species